rnacentral:rRNA from 1 species
CGCUCCUUCGGGAGUUAUUAAAGUGGCGCACGGGUGAGGAACGCGUAGGUAAUCUACCCUCCGGCGGGGGACAACAUUCCGAAAGGAAUGCUAAUACCGCGUAAGACCACACUCACUACGGUGAGAGCGGUUAAAGGUGCCUCAAAGCACCACCAGAGGAUGAGCCUGCGUCCCAUCAGCUUGUUGGUGAGGUAAUGGCUUACCAAGGCGAAGACGGGUAGCUGGUCUGAGAGGAUGAUCAGCCACACUGGCACUGGAACACGGGCCAGACUCCUACGGGAGGCAGCAGUGAGGAAUAUUGGGCAAUGGGCGAAAGCCUGACCCAGCCACGCCGCGUGUGUGAUGAAGGCCUUCGGGUCGUAAAGCACUGUGGGGAGAGACGAAAAAGCGCAGCAGGAAAUGGCUGCGCCUUGACGGUACCUCCUUAGCAAGCACCGGCUAACUCUGUGCCAGCAGCCGCGGUAAUACAGAGGGUGCAAACGUUGCUCGGAUUUACUGGGCGUAAAGCGCGUGUAGGCGGACUCGCAAGUCGGUUGUG